GGACCCAGAACCCAGCUCCUCUUCUUCUUCUCAAAGACAGCCAAAUCGGACCCUAAAUCACAAAACAUUCAGGCGAGAGUGCCUCAUUCUCGCCUCAUGCAUCUUCUCUCUCUCUUUGUCACCAUAUUUGUAACAAUCUCUAACAAAUUCUCCCUCCCCAUCCCUUUCGCACGUGUUGGAAGCCUCCAGAAGGCACAUGCUUGAUGAAUAUGGAGCGUAGAUUCGAUUUCAAUGAAUCGCAGCCCUUCAUUCAUCAGGUUGGUUCCUGAUAAGUAGAGAGAACUUUGGAGGAUUUUCCGAAGGGGGGAUGGAGAGAAAAGGGCCAAGAGAUUUCAAUUCUAACAUAGAAGGGAUAUGAAAGAGACAUAGUGGUUCGAUUUCUCUUGCAUAUUUACUCCUCCAUUUUAUUUCGCUUUGGAUUUCUGGUGUCAAGUAUGGAGUUCGAGUGAGUCGUUUGUCGAUUCGAGUUCCGAAUUUUAUUAUGCUUUGGAUUUCUGGUGUCAAGUAUGGAGUUCGAGUGAGUCGUUUGUCGAUUCGAGUUCCGAUCGAGGCUCCUUCGAGGUUGCUGGCUGCUUUCGCUUGGCUGCUGCGUGAUUCAAAUUUUCACUGCCGAGGUCCCUUGUAUUUAUGCCCCUGAAAUUAAUAGAAAUUUUGAGCAUCCAGGUUUAUUUACCCUCCUGUACUACUUUGUUUAUAUGGUUUAAAACAUGGUUAGGAGAUUCAGUCUCGUUGGAGCUGAGAUUUAUGUGAUGUCGAUGUGGUAAGCCACAUUUUGAUAACUUUAUAGCUGGUAAGGCAUUUGAAUUAAAGCGUGGUUAGUUGUGAAAUGAUUAGCUGAAUUUCAUUCUAGUAACAUGCUCUUCGUGAUCUUCUAUGAGUAUUCAGUUUGACCUUCUCAGUUGGAGCUUGAAAUAGUGCCGAGAUGAGUGACAUUUUAUUGCCUAGUGAAGGCCUGAUGCUCUGAAUUGGUUGUUGCCCCUUACCCUGUUUAUGUCCUUUUGCUAACUGAUAGUCCUGUUUGAUAUUUUCAAUUCACUUGAGUAGAAUUUGCUGGCAUCUCUUCUCUUCUUGCUAAGUUUAGUCUUGCUCUCCGUUUGUGAUUUAGAAUUGUAACCGUAAAGGAUAAAAAGCAGUUGGUGUUGGAAUUCAUGUGUCAAAGCUAGAGCAAUUGCGAACAUUAACCGUUUGGGUGUAAAUCCUAUGUGCUUGAGUUGAUAUUUUGUAAACCUGAAAGUCUAAGCUUUAAGUUGUACCUUUCUAUUGCUGAAAUCUACCCUAAUUUCUGGCUCUGUUUUACAUUUGAGAACAUUGGUUCGAGCACUUGGUAUCCUCUAAUUGUUUGUUCUACUCUGUAUUCAUUGUUUUCAAAUUGCGAGUGUGUCAUUGGAGAUUUUUGUGCUAAUUAUACACUAAUACAUGUCCUGGAUUCUUUGUGAUAGAGUUGCUGAAUUCAUUUCUUCUGAUAAGUUGAGUUAGUAUCAAGGAGACGUAAUACUCAUUAAGAUCAGAAUGUCAGUCCACGACGACUUUCAUCCAACUCUUAUUGAAUUUUAUUAUUUUGAAAAUUGGUUUGGGCUAUACAAGUCGAGCAGCAUUUAAAUUAGGAGGUCUUCGUCUUGUUCAAAGUGUGGACUUGAACGUGAAACCCAACUUACUUUUAAUGAAUGGUAGCUCACAAUACUAAUUAAUUAGGUUUUCUCUAAGAGACAAUUGAUACUAGAAACAUAAUAGUCCCUUUUAAGUUGGCUUUUAAAAAUGAAAACGAGGUGCGCCGCACCAAACAAAAAUGCAUAAAUUGCGUGGCUCUCUUUAAAUGCUUAUAUUAAAAUACUUAGAAUUCGGGACAUGCCUCUUAGCGAACUUCACGGCUUCCUGCAAAUGUAACAACACGUUAGCCAUUUUAGGCACGUCCUUUAAUAAUUUUACUUUCCUAAAUUUGGGUGCACAUUUAUGUGACCCAAAUCCAAAUCUCAAAGAAGUAGAAAUGUGUCAAAAAUCGCGGGUGCAUUUAUGUGACGUGGUUCGAGACAUAUUGCAACGACAUUACAAUUGCCUUUAAAAAAUAAUAGUAAAAGCGGUUGAAGGUUAAAAAGCACAUAAAUCUAAAGAUGUUCUACAAUCAGAUAAUUUAAGCCAAAUAUGACAGUUGAGCGACCGUGCUAGAACCACGGAACUCGAGAAUGCCUAACACCNNNNNNNNNNNNNNNNNNNNNNNNNNNNNNNNNNNNNNNNNNNNNNNNNNNNNNNNNNNNNNNNNNNNNNNNNNNNNNNNNNNNNNNNNNNNNNNNNNNNNNNNNNUCGGAUUAACAGAAUUCCUUAUUCGGAUUUCUGGUUCGCGGACUGUUAAACAAAGUCAUUCUUUCCUUGAUUCGGGAUUCUAACUGGUGACUUGGGACACCAUAAAUCUCUCAAGUGUCUAUUGUCCAAUAAUUGGAAAAAUUCCCUUAUCUGCGCCCUUCACCGGGUUGUGGAUAGCCAAAAGGAGGUGUGACAGCUCUGGCGACUCUUCUGGGGAAUCGAACCCAGAAUCUCUGGUUCAGGAUUCAAGAAAUCGAGCUUAGGAUAAUUGUUGUAUUUGGUUUUGUUUAUUAUUUGAUUUUACAUGUUGACUUAAUGUACAAAAUGAUGCUUUAACCGCUUUGAUAUUAUUUGAAUUGUAUAUAAACUGUUACGAAACCUUCUCUCUUUAUCUUUGGGGAUGUGCUCGCUAGUCGAGACUCCAUAUUAUGUUAGUGUCAUACCUUAAAAUAAGAAAGAGGCUCGGAAAAGUUACAAAGCCGGACGAUCUUGCAGGUCCCCGGUACGUAGCCCCCUCCUCGACUCGAGUUGUCCGCUCGGGUACAAUGUCUAGAACAAAUACCCAGGUGCUGAACUUAGUAUAACAAAACCUCAUGACAGAUCCUUAGUAGGAACACUUAUCUGCAUCAUCCAUUUGACUUAGGAGACACAACACGGGGGUUGGGUCCAUCUAGGAUAGGUGUUCCCAAAAUAAUAGACCAUCUUGAUACAUCCUAAUGUCAUACAUGUUGCAUUUCUCCAAGGGUAAAGGGUCAUUUGGCGGACCAAUGAUUGCUGAGGGUAAACGAAAAAUGAGAAAAAAAGUGAAAAAAAAUGAAAAGAAAAGAGGGUGAAGGGUUAAAAUAAAGCAAGUAGGAUUUCGUUAUGUUUUGUUAUAUUUUUAUUAAAAAAGAGACACGGGAUAUGUGAAAAAUUCAAAAAAAAGAAGAAUAUUUCGCACUUUUUAUUAUUUCUUGAAAAUAAAAAAAAGAAAAUCCAAAAAUAGUUUACAUAUUUCAUCAUUUUUCGAGAAGAGACAAAUGAAAAUGUUUUCUUUAAAAAUUAGCUAUUUUUUUAAUUUUUUGCCCGUACCCAAUUUGCCCGAACUACGCAAACCUCAUUCUUGUCUUUCGGGACGUGAUACGUAGGCAACCCACAUAGGGUCCGGUCUUCUUAGUAAAUCUUGGGUUCUUGGCUUUGCAGGGCCUUAGCCAAAUUUCGCACUUCUAGACAUCUGGCUUUUACUUCUAAAAUGUUCUCCUUGUUGAAUUGACUGCUUUUGUUACAUAGCAUAUUGUUCAGUGAGUUAGAAUUUGUUGAUGGAAGUUGAAGGUUUGCUAGGCAAUAAUUUGAUGCUAGUUUCCUGUUGCUAUAAAGAAUUUUGUGCUUGCUGCCCGCAGUCCUGUAUUGUUCACUUUCUGCUCAACAGUGAGGCAUGCUUAUAAUGUAUAGCUUAUUGUUGUCGUGCGGUGUAGGAGUUUUCUUUAGAGUGACUUUGAAUUCCUUAAGGUUUUGUUUACCCCUUUUUGGAAAUUUUCCCUUCCUUUUUCUCUUUGGCAGUUAGAAUUCUAACAUAUUGCGAACAUCCUAGUACCAUCUAAAACACUAUCCUUCAUAUCAGUGUAGCGUGUCCUUUUGUCUCAUAGUUUAGCCGGUAGCACUAGGAUACAUGGACAGAACCUCCUUGGUGUCGAUCUGUCAGAAGUGACCUAUAAAGAAUAUCUAAAGUGAACUUAUAUGAUGAAGUUACUCUCUAAAUAUGUCAUACUUGAAACCUUUGAUUUGAUGACUUCAUCAUCGGGAUUUCCUCAAUUAAUCUGCAAUUAUUCUCUCAUAUUAUUGUUGUUAUUUACCUAUCACCAAAUAAGAGUUAUGUGUUGCAUGUCAAGGAUCAAGUGCCAAAAGCUAUUUGCUUAUUACUUGUCGAAGUGCUCAAUGUAGUUUUGAAGAAAUUUGAUAUUAGAUGUUUCUUUUGUUGGGGUAGGUAGGGUACAAUCUUUUUUAGAUCUGGAUGUUCCUUCAUGACUUGUUAGUGGGAAGUGUGGUAGAUCUUGAUAUUUUAGAAGAUAAGCAUUCAUCCUUCAUGACAUCCUGGAGGCAUCAUAUGUUAUUUCUAGUCUAACCACAUCCUUAGUGACAUUCCUAGUUGGCCUUGGCAGUAGGAAAGGUAAGAGUACUUGUUUGUUGCAUUAUGUAGUUGGUAAUGCAUCUUUGUUUCAUUUCAUGGAUCUCCUGAAUGAUAUUAAGGGAUUUAAUUUUGUCUUAAGAAAAAAGAACCACUUGAUUGCAUUACAUGUUUGCAGAGUUUUUUAUUUGAGCAAAGAUUGGUAUUACUGUCAGUUACUAUCCACAUGGUGAUGAAGUUAUCAAAGCCAUAUUUAUAUAAUAAUUGAGCUGGUGCAUUUGUGAUUUAUCAAUGGUAUUUUUAAUAAGGUUCAUUAGUGAAAAACCAUUUACAGGUUCUUGUUUCAGAGCUUAUUGUUUUUUGGCAGAAGAGUUGAAAAAUUGGAACUUUAUCCAAGGAUGACGCUGAAGUUGACGAGGAGGAAGAUGGAAGCUAGAGUUGCAGCUAAUCAUAUCAAACAACAGGAAAAGGGGUGUCAAAAUAGUUGACAAUUAAAUAGUAGGUUCCCAACGAAGUGUUGAGAUUUGAACUUUGUUCCCCUGCUAGAUUUUGUUUAGCAUUGACAAUGACAAAUAGGUGGAAAUUUAGAGCUUCUGUGCUCGGAAUUUAUUUGUAGUUGUAGUGCUGUUAUUGAUAUUUAUGACUACUGUAGGUUUGGUUAUGGAUAGUUCAUGUAUUUUGGAAUGUUGGAUUUUGAUUUUUGAUUUUUCUGUCAUUGUGGUACGAAAGGGAGAUCUUUUGGGUAUAAUGGCCUUGGCCUAUAAGUCUAAAAUCUUAAUGAAGAUUGUUGAAGUGUUAGAGGUCACAUUUUGUUCAAUGAUAAAUGAACAGGUGGCUAUGUCUUGUGGAAUUAUUUUUUUUAGCCUACAAAAAGAAAGUUCUUUAAUUCGACUAUUGCUGAAUUCAAUGGUCAAUUGGGACAAGUACUACUUUGCUUUCAGUAGUAGUUGAUAGUAGUACAAGCUUAGGAAUGAUAACAUUCGGGAGAACGUGUACGUGGCUUCCAUUGAUGAUAAGAUAUGAGAAGUGAGGUUCAGAUGGUUCGGGCAUGUACGGAGGAAUAGCCUGUAGGUCUAUUUAUCGGAGUUUGAGCGUGGCAGACACUCCAGGACCAUCCAGUCAAGAUCGUUCAUUCAGGAGUUGCUUAAGAAGAUUUAUUUGUAUUUUUAUCUUUGAG
rnacentral:lncRNA from 1 species